GUCUCAGACACCCUGAACAGGCCUGAUCUUGUCUGAAUUUGGAAGCUAAGCAGGGUUGUGUCUGGUUAGUACUUUGAUGGGAGAUCACCUGGGAAUAUCGGGUACCAUAGGCU
ensembl:rRNA 5S_rRNA 5S ribosomal RNA